UGGCCUCGAUGCAUAUGUCGUUGGCUCGCCCGAUUCGACCCGCGCGAUUCUUCUCGUCUCUGAUGUUUUCGGAUAUGAAGCUCCAAACUUGAGUUGAUCCCGGUUUUCUCCUGCUCUCAAAGGAAACUUGCGGAUAAGGUUGCAGAAUCUGGAUUCUAUGUGGUGGUUCCUGAUUAUUUCU